UCAAACUUGGUCAUUUAGAGGAAGUAAAAGUCGUAACAAGGUUUCCGUAGGUGAACCUGCGGAAGGAUCAUUACAGAGAACUUGCCCGUCUGGGUAGAUCUCCCACCCUUUGUUUACUAUACCUUUGUUGCUUUGGCAAGCCUGUCUUGUGACUACUGGCCUCCAGCUAGUAAGUGCUUGCCAGAGGACCCCAAACACUUUACAUUGUGUUGUCUGAGUAGUACAGAAAUUUUUAAAACUUUCAACAACGGAUCUCUUGGUUCUGGCAUCGAUGAAGAACGCAGC
rnacentral:misc_RNA from 1 species